rnacentral:rRNA from 1 species
AGCGAACGCUGGCGGCAGGCUUAACACAUGCAAGUCGAACGCCCCGCAAGGGGAGUGGCAGACGGGUGAGUAACACGUGGGAACGUACCCUUUGGUUCGGAAUAACUUGGGGAAACUCAAGCUAAUACCGGAUAAGCCCUUAUGGGGAAGGGUUUACUGGCGAAGGAUCGGCCCGCGUCUGAUUAGCUAGUUGGUGAGGUAAUGGCUCACCAAGUGGACGAUCAGUAGCUGGUCUGAGAGGGUGAUCAGCCACACUGGGACUGAGACACGGCCCAGACUCCUACGGGAGGCAGCAGUGGGGAAUAUUGGACAAUGGGGGCAACCCUGAUCCAGCCAUGCCGCGUGAGUGAUGAAGGCCUUAGGGUUGUAAAGCUCUUUUACCCGGGACGAUAAUGACUGUACCGGGAGAAUAAGCCCCGGCUAACUUCGUGCCAGCCGCCGCAGUAA